GAUUCUUCCCAAUUCUACCGCCACCAUUCUGGUUCAAGCUACCUGAUGUCACCACCAUUCAGUGCAGAAAUGAUGGGCAAUCACCAAAGCUCAACUUACUAAAGCAAUUAUACUGGCUAACUUAUCCAGUAGAGACGGGGUUUCACCAUGUUAGCCAGGAUGGUCUCGAUCUUCUGACCUCGUGAUCCAUCUGCCUCAGCCUUCCAAAGUUCUGGGAUUACAGACGUGAGCCACCACGCCCGGCCAAAAGAUCCAUAAACUUUGAGUCACCAGAUGGAGCUAACAUUUACCACAGAGGCAUGUAAAGAAAACGAUUCUAGCAGAGUAACUAUAAUACAAAAGAACAAUAUUCCAAUUAUGUCCCUAUGUUCUAUCCAGGAAGGUUUAAGAGGAGCCUUUUAAACUGAACUAUAUUCUAAGAGGUGGGAAAAAGUUUUCUUUUGUUUUUCUUAUUAACCGUACCUUGAAAGCCCCAAAUAAAUGUUCCUUGGUUUAGAUGCCCUGGUAGAUGACCAAAAAA
rnacentral:antisense_RNA from 1 species